UGCCAUUCAUGGGGUCGCAAAGAGUCGGACACGACUGAGCGACUGAACUGCACUGAACGGAACCGCAUCACGGCUCACGCGACAUGAACUACACUACCCAGAAGUACCCUCUCCGCGCGUUUACACCAGUAUUGACCAUUGAUAGCCAGGGAGAUAGGCGUUUCCGGGACGGCCACGCCUUGGAGGGCGGGACUUCCGGGUUCAGAUGGUUGGUUUUCUGUCUUGCUUCUUCGUUGGCCGCGGGCGGAUGGACCUGGUUGUUGGACUGUGGCUGGUGUCUAGGGGGCUCCUCCGGCCCGCGGAAACGGGAGUGGCUGUGCCUCUGUGUCCUGAGGCUGGACAGCCGUGAAGGCCGUGACUGCUGAGGCCACCAGGAACCCAGCCUGGGCAACAGGAGCCUCCCUGCUUUUGCUGGCGGGGUGACAGCUCUCAGGAAUAUGGCUCAGAAGACUGCAGGCUUCAGGACAACUUAGCUGCUCAGUGACCUUGAGCGUGGUGUUAACAGAUAAGAGUUUGGCCCCUCUAGGUCUCACAGCCUUUGCCCUUGCAUACUGGGCUCUGGCAUCCCUUGUUGGCUGUUCCCUGUGCCCCACCAUUCCCCAUCUACGUAGAGGGGACCUGCCCUGUCUGCCUGGAGUGGUGAUUACAGGGAUCUGGUUUUUCUGGCCUGGCAGAGAAAGAUGGCUCAUCUCCAGCUGGUGGCCACGCUAAGAUGCGCCUGGUUUGAGGGACCUGCUUCCUCAUUCUCAGGACCGCUGUACCCCUCAAAUCCAGUGAUUACACCUCAGGUAAGCUCUGGGCACACAGGUGACUGAGAUCCUGGCACAGUGCUUUCCCUGGAGGGCUUGAAGUCACCAGACCCUUUGGACCACAAGAGGACAGAGUGCCUCCCCUGCCCUCCCACUCUGUCCCCAGAGGCACGUGGACAUUGCUGUCACCACUGAGAAUCUGACCCCUCAGCACCCUGGCCAUGACCCAUUUCUCUUCUGGCUCCUGGGCCACAGCCCUGGCUCCAAGGUGAUGUAACCCUUUCGGCUUUAUUGUCACAGAGUCUGGAGGAGUUGGGAGGGAGUUGCCCCCGGGACACUCCCGUUGCCCCCAGCAGAGUGAGUCUGUUCAAGAAGCAGGGACGCUCCCCCGGCGCUGCCAGGAGACCUCCGUGGGGCCCUCGGCCAGAGAGGGUCAGUUCCCAGCUCCUGUGCACUUAGGGCCUAACAAGUUCCCACUCUUUGCCACCCCAUGUCCAUGGAAUUUUUCAGACAAUACUAGAGUGGGUUGCCAUUUCCUUCUCCAGGGGAUCUUCGUAACCCAGGGAUCGAAACAGUGCCUCCUGCUUUGGCAGGCGGAUUCUUUACCACUGAGUCACCUGGGAAGCCCCAUGUCGUGUCCCAUAGCUCUGUCUUUCUUUUAAAGGUUCUGUUUAAAAGAACCCCUCUGUCCAGUUUCAGAGGGAUCAGCAUGUGCAAAGGCUUGGAGGAGGGUAUGCAGGACACCUGCAGUCCUUUACCAUAAAGUCCCAAGGGAGAAAGAUUCAUGUUCAGCCUUUAUCCUAGGGGGGAUGGGGGUGGGGCACGGGUUGGGGAGACAUGAUUGGAGGAGUGACUCGAUCUGACAAGAAUCCCUUUGAGGACUUCCCCAGUGGUCCAGUGGUUAAGCGCCCACCUUGUAGUGUAGGGGAUGCAAGUUUGAUCCCUGGAUAGGAAAAUAGGAUCCUUCAUGCCGAGAUGCAAAUAAGCCCGAGUGCCCACCUGCUCUGGAGCCCGCCAGCCACAGGGAAGAUCCCGUAUGCCUCAAAUAAGACCUGGCACAGCAAAAUUAAUACAUUUUGAAAAAGAACAUCCAUUUGACAUCCACGCAGAGAAGGGAGGGGGACUGGGUGAAGGUGGGGGGAUGGGCCCUCGAGCCCUCACAUGUGACACAUUUGGGCCAGGCCCUUCGGUUCAGCUGCCCCUUCCUGGUCAGCAGAAUCAUGUCCCCCACCAAUGAUGUCUGCAGACUCCUAACCUGCCCAAGGGCCACCACGAGGCCUGGAGUGGAGGAGGGUUGCCAUCUGUACCAGUGGGGUCAAUCUCACAGUCCAGGACCACCACACGGACCCAGAAAGCUGGAGAGCCCACCCCAGUGACACCUGUGUACACAUCUUCAAAGACAUCUGGUUGUAGGUGGAAGCCAUGUACCCGGAGACGUGGUGGGGAGGCUCCCGGUUCAGCCCUAGCCUCUACCAACACCAAAGGCAGCUGAAGUGGGGGUACAUGUAGAGCCCCUCCCCAGCGCAGAGAAGCCCCAGGGAAGCCUCAUGACACGUCCACCAGCAACUGACAGUGCUGAGGCUGAUGGUAAAAGGUCAAAGAGUGGGCAGUGGCCCAGUUCCUGAGAAUCUUCACCUCUUUACGCAAAUAGUUGGAAAAGCCCUUCCACUCAUUAAGUCUAUGAAGUUACCCAGCCCAUAAAAAAGUCACCCCAUGUUUUGGGGCCUCCCUUUCUGAGAUGGCCCACGCUGUGGAGUGUUUCUCCCAUGGUCGUUCUGGCCUUUUGAGGCUGACUGCAUUCUAUUUAAGGAAUGUGUUUCUAAAUAAAUCUUCUUACCUAUCAUUUUUGUA